UCCUAAACCAGAGAGAAGCGGCAGCCUCCGAUUUAAGCAAUGGUUUAUAGUAUUAUAAAGAUUUUCUAUCGGAGCUAUAGCGAAUAGCGGGACUGCAG
rnacentral:sRNA from 1 species